UAAGAGGUCCCGCCUGCCCUGUGACUAUAAGUUUAACGGCCGCGGUAUUUUGACCGUGCGAAGGUAGCGCAAUCACUUGUCCUUUAAAUGGGGACCUGUAUGAAUGGCACAACGAGGGCUUAACUGUCUCCUCUUUCUAGUCAAUGAAAUUGAUCUCCCCGUGCAGAAGCGGGGAUAUAAACAUAAGACGAGAAGACCCUGUGGAGCUUUAGACACCGGGAAUAGACCAUGUCAAUGCACUUCCAAUAAGAGAAAUAAACCAGAUGGCCCCUAUUCCAAUGUCUUUGGUUGGGGUGACCGCGGGAAAAAGAAUAACCUCCGCGUGGAGCGGGAACAGUUUCCUACUUCCCUCCUACAGCCAAGAGCUGCAGCUCUAAGCAACAGAAAUUUUGACCAAAAGAUCCGGCAGCGCCGAUCAACGAACCGAGUUACCCCAGGGAUAACAGCGCAAUCCCCUUCUAGAGCCCUUAUCGACAAGGGGGUUUACGACCUCGAUGUUGGAUCAGGACAUCCUAAUGGUGCAGCCGCUAUUAAGGGUUCGUUUGUUCAACG
rnacentral:rRNA from 1 species